GCCUACGGGGGGCAGCAGUGGGGAAUAUUGGGCAAUGGAGGAAACUCUGACCCAGCAAUGCCGCGUGAAUGAAGAAGGUCUUCGGAUUGUAAAGUUCUUUAGUCAGGGAAGAAGUCAAUGACGGUACCUGAAGAAUAAGCUCCGGCUAACUACGUGCCAGCAGCCGCGGUAAUACGUAGGGAGCAAGCGUUGUUCGGAUUUACUGGGUGUAAAGGGAGCGUAGACGGAAAGGCAAGUCAGAAGUGAAAACCCAAGGCUCAACCAUGGGACUGCUUUUGAAACUGUCAAACUAGAGUACGGGAGAG
rnacentral:rRNA from 1 species